UAGCCUAGUGGUUAGGGCUUUGGAUAGCCAAUCCGGAGACGGUGGGUUCGAUUCCCGU
rfam:Aedes albopictus isolate Foshan contig110261, whole genome shotgun sequence.